rnacentral:lncRNA from 1 species
GGUGGUGGGGCUUACGCAGUUGUAGUUGGGGGUGCAGCAGAGGACGCGUAUCCUGUAGUUGAGGCACAUCUUGAAUUUUCCAGUCUGGUCCUCGUUCUUGCACACCAGUCCAUAGUGGACGUCGCACUGCACGACCUGCCCCACCUGUUGGAUGGGAACGUCGGGGUAGUCCUCGGCCCGGCACUCGAUCUCCUUUGGACGCUGGCAGACGCGCUUCCCGGCGGCCCGGAUGUGCUGGUAGGUUUCGAAGUCUCCCUGGUUGGGCCCGGCGGAGGGGAAGUCGACGUCGAACCAUUCGCUCCAGGUGCAGACUUCGGGUUCACAGGGGGUGGUGGAUGUGGUGGAGCUCACGGUGGGAGUGGCUGUGGGAGGCGUUGGCGUGGGGCUGGUGGUGGUGGUGGAAGUGGACGUGGUUUCUGAGGAGGUGGGCAGCGUGGUGGAAGAGUGGAAGGUGGAGGUGGAGGUCGUGACUGAGGUGGAGGUUGGCAGCGUGCUGCUUGCCGUGGGCCUGCUGGUGGUGGUGGUGAUGGGGCUGGUGGUGGGGCUGGUGGUGGGGCUUACGCAGUUGUAGUUGGGGGUGCAGCAGAGGACGCGUAUCCUGUAGUUGAGGCACAUCUUGAAUUUUCCAGUCUGGGCCUCGUUCUUGCACACCAGUCCAUAGUGGACGUCGCACUGCACGACCUGCCCCACCUGUUGGAUGGGAACGUCGGGGGAGUCCUCGGCCCGGCACUCGAUCUCCUUUGGACGCUGGCAGACGCGCUUCCCGGCGGCCCGGAUGUGCUGUCUGGUCCUCGUUCUUGCACACCAGUCCAUAGUGGACGUCGCACUGCACGACCUGCCCCACCUGUUGGAUGGGAACGUCGGGGUAGUCCUCGGCCCGGCACUCGAUCUCCUUUGGACGCUGGCAGACGCGCUUCCCGGCGGCCCGGAUGUGCUGGUAGGUUUCGAAGUCUCCCUGGUUGGGCCCGGCGGAGGGGAAGUCGACGUCGAACCAUUCGCUCCAGGUGCAGACUUCGGGUUCACAGGGGGUGGUGGAUGUGGUGGAGCUCACGGUGGGAGUGGCUGUGGGAGGCGUUGGCGUGGGGCUGGUGGUGGUGGUGGAAGUGGACGUGGUUUCUGAGGAGGUGGGCAGCGUGGUGGAAGAGUGGAAGGUGGAGGUGGAGGUCGUGACUGAGGUGGAGGUUGGCAGCGUGCUGCUUGCCGUGGGCCUGCUGGUGGUGGUGGUGAUGGGGCUGGUGGUGGGGCUGGUGGUGGGGCUUACGCAGUUGUAGUUGGGGGUGCAGCAGAGGACGCGUAUCCUGUAGUUGAGGCACAUCUUGAAUUUUCCAGUCUGGUCCUCGUUCUUGCACACCAGUCCAUAGUGGACGUCGCACUGCACGACCUGCCCCACCUGUUGGAUGGGAACGUCGGGGUAGUCCUCGGCCCGGCACUCGAUCUCCUUUGGACGCUGGCAGACGCGCUUCCCGGCAGCCCGGAUGUGCUGGUAGGUUUCGAAGUCUCCCUGGUUGGGCCCGGCGGAGGGGAAGUCGACGUCGAACCAUUCGCUCCAGGUGCAGACUUCGGGUUCACAGGGGGUGGUUACCAUAGUAGUGGUGGUG